rnacentral:rRNA from 1 species
AUUGAACGCUGGCGGCAUGCCUUACACAUGCAAGUCGAACGGCAGCACGGGAGCAAUCCCGGUGGCGAGUGGCGAACGGGUGAGUAAUACAUCGGAACGUGCCCAGUAGUGGGGGAUAACUGCUCGAAAGAGCAGCUAAUACCGCAUACGACCUGAGGGUGAAAGCGGGGGAUCGCAAGACCUCGCGCUAUUGGAGCGGCCGAUGUCAGAUUAGCUAGUUGGUGGGGUAAAGGCCUACCAAGGCAACGAUCUGUAGUUGGUCUGAGAGGACGACCAGCCACACUGGGACUGAGACACGGCCCAGACUCCUACGGGAGGCAGCAGUGGGGAAUUUUGGACAAUGGGGGCAACCCUGAUCCAGCAAUGCCGCGUGCAGGAAGAAGGCCUUCGGGUUGUAAACUGCUUUUGUCAGGGAAGAAAUCCUCUGGGUUAAUACCUCGGGGGGAUGACGGUACCUGAAGAAUAAGCACCGGCUAACUACGUGCCAGCAGCCGCGGUAACAC